UUAAGCGACUAAGCGUACACGGUGGAUGCCCUGGCAGUCAGAGGCGAUGAAGGACGUGCUAAUCUGCGAAAAGCGUCGGUAAGGUGAUAUGAACCGUUAUAACCGGCGAUGUCCGAAUGGGGAAACCCAGUGUGAUUCGUCACACUAUCGUUAACUGAAUACAUAGGUUAACGAGGCGAACCGGGGGAACUGAAACAUCUAAGUACCCCGAGGAAAAGAAAUCAACCGAGAUUCCCCCAGUAGCGGCGAGCGAACGGGGAGCAGCCCAGAGUCUGAAUCAGCUUGUGUGUUAGUGGAACGGUCUGGAAAGUCCGACGGUACAGGGUGAUAGUCCCGUACACCAAAAUGCACAGGYUGUGAACUCGAAGAGUAGGGCGGGACACGUGGUAUCCUGUCUGAAUAUGGGGGGACCAUCCUCCAAGGCUAAAUACUCCUGACUGACCGAUAGUGAACCAGUACCGUGAGGGAAAGGCGAAAAGAACCCCGGCGAGGGGAGUGAAAAAGAACCUGAAACCGUGUACGUACAAGCAGUGGGAGCACCUUCGGGUGUGACUGCGUACCUUUUGUAUAAUGGGUCAGCGACUUAUAUUCUGUAGCAAGGUUAACCGUAUAGGGGAGCCGCAGGGAAACCGAGUCUUAACUGGGCGUUAAGUUGCAGGGUAUAGACCCGAAACCCGGUGAUCUAGCCAUGGGCAGGUUGAAGGUUGGGUAACACUAACUGGAGGACCGAACCGACUAAUGUUGAAAAAUUAGCGGAUGACUUGUGGCUGGGGGUGAAAGGCCAAUCAAACCGGGAGAUAGCUGGUUCUCCCCGAAAGCUAUUUAGGUAGCGCCUCGUGAAUUCAUCUUCGGGGGUAGAGCACUGUUUCGGCUAGGGGGUCAUCCCGACUUACCAACCCGAUGCAAACUACGAAUACCGAAGAAUGUUAUCACGGGAGACACACGGCGGGUGCUAACGUCCGUCGUGAAGAGGGAAACAACCCAGACCGCCAGCUAAGGUCCCAAAGUCAUGGUUAAGUGGGAAACGAUGUGGGAAGGCACAGACAGCCAGGAUGUUGGCUUAGAAGCAGCCAUCAUUUAAAGAAAGCGUAAUAGCUCACUGGUCGAGUCGGCCUGCGCGGAAGAUGUAACGGGGCUAAACCAUGCACCGAAGCUGCGGCAGCGACACUAUGUGUUGUUGGGUAGGGGAGCGUUCUGUAAGCCUGCGAAGGUGUGCUGUGAGGCAUGCUGGAGGUAUCAGAAGUGCGAAUGCUGACAUAAGUAACGAUAAAGCGGGUGAAAAGCCCGCUCGCCGGAAGACCAAGGGUUCCUGUCCAACGUUAAUCGGGGCAGGGUGAGUCGACCCCUAAGGCGAGGCCGAAAGGCGUAGUCGAUGGGAAACAGGUUAAUAUUCCUGUACUUGGUGUUACUGCGAAGGGGGGACGGAGAAGGCUAUGUUAGCCGGGCGACGGUUGUCCCGGUUUAAGCAUGUAGGCUGGUURUCCAGGCAAAUCCGGAUAAUCAAGGCUGAGGUGUGAUGACGAGGCACUACGGUGCUGAAGUAACAAAUGCCCUGCUUCCAGGAAAAGCCUCUAAGCAUCAGGUAACAUCAAAUCGUACCCCAAACCGACACAGGUGGUCAGGUAGAGAAUACCAAGGCGCUUGAGAGAACUCGGGUGAAGGAACUAGGCAAAAUGGUGCCGUAACUUCGGGAGAAGGCACGCUGGUGUGUAGGUGAAGUCCCUGCGGAUGGAGCUGAGACCAGUCGAAGAUACCAGCUGGCUGCAACUGUUUAUUAAAAACACAGCACUGUGCAAACACGAAAGUGGACGUAUACGGUGUGACGCCUGCCCGGUGCCGGAAGGUUAAUUGAUGGGGUUAUCCGUAAGGAGAAGCUCUUGAUCGAAGCCCCGGUAAACGGCGGCCGUAACUAUAACGGUCCUAAGGUAGCGAAAUUCCUUGUCGGGUAAGUUCCGACCUGCACGAAUGGCGUAAUGAUGGCCAGGCUGUCUCCACCCGAGACUCAGUGAAAUUGAACUCGCUGUGAAGAUGCAGUGUACCCGCGGCAAGACGGAAAGACCCCGUGAACCUUUACUAUAGCUUGACACUGAACAUUGAGCCUUGAUGUGUAGGAUAGGUGGGAGGCUUUGAAGCGUGGACGCCAGUCUGCGUGGAGCCAACCUUGAAAUACCACCCUUUAAUGUUUGAUGUUCUAACGUUGGCCCCUKACCGGGGUUGCGGACAGUGUCUGGUGGGUAGUUUGACUGGGGCGGUCUCCUCCCAAAGCGUAACGGAGGAGCACGAAGGUUAGCUAAUCCUGGUCGGACAUCAGGAGGUUAGUGCAAUGGCAUAAGCUAGCUUGACUGCGAGCGUGACGGCGCGAGCAGGUGCGAAAGCAGGUCAUAGUGAUCCGGUGGUUCUGAAUGGAAGGGCCAUCGCUCAACGGAUAAAAGGUACUCCGGGGAUAACAGGCUGAUACCGCCCAAGAGUUCAUAUCGACGGCGGUGUUUGGCACCUCGAUGUCGGCUCAUCACAUCCUGGGGCUGAAGUAGGUCCCAAGGGUAUGGCUGUUCGCCAUUUAAAGUGGUACGCGAGCUGGGUUUAGAACGUCGUGAGACAGUUCGGUCCCUAUCUGCCGUGGGCGCUGGAGAAUUGAGGGGGGCUGCUCCUAGUACGAGAGGACCGGAGUGGACGCAUCACUGGUGUUCGGGUUGUCAUGCCAAUGGCACUGCCCGGUAGCUAAAUGCGGAAGAGAUAAGUGCUGAAAGCAUCUAAGCACGAAACUUGCCCCGAGAUGAGUUCUCCCUGAGACUUUAAGUCUCCUGAAGGAACGUUAAAGACGAUGACGUUGAUAGGCCGGGUGUGUAAGCGCAGCGAUGCGUUGAGCUAACCGGUACUAAUGAACCGUGAGGCUUAACCU
rnacentral:rRNA from 1 species